rnacentral:lncRNA from 1 species
GCACGAACUUGUGGCCUGCCUAUCGAGGCCACUCCUCUCUGAACAAGGUUGUGUCAGUGUCCUCAGACCAAUGUGAUGUACUGGCAACAGGACGGGCUGUGUGCAGCUGUCAAGUUAUCCAGCCUUCGGUCUGGCCAGCUUGUAUUAGUGUUGCGUUAAUGUAUAUCCUGAAAGCAUAAAAAUAAACGCUACUGUGAUGUGAUAGCCAUUUCUUUGUAUGGAUGUGCCAUAUACUUCGUGUGUGUUAUAGUUCAGGUG